CUUCCUAAUUGACAAAUCAAAAACUGCCUUCUCUGCUGACAGCCUCUACAUUGAAAGCUUUCGUUCCUAUCACUUCUUUUACAGUGCAAAUCUCAGUUAAUUUCUAUUCUCAUUCUCCUUUGUCUUCUCUUUCAAUCUCACUCCACUCUUUUCCUUGGGUUACUAAGGACAAACAUAUCCCUUUAUUUUUGUACUUGUAGCAGUUUUUGUACUGCUCUUAAUAACCCUUAGUAUAGGCUAAGUUCUCACUUUACCUGUACACAUGAUUGCUGCUGUGAUUUGUUUGUAUGUAUUGCUCCAAAAUUCAUAUGAUGGAACCUAACCCCCUAGGAGGUGGUAUUAGGAGGUGGGGUGCUUCGCAGGUCAUUAGGCUAUGAGAAUUCUGCCUUCAUGGAUAAGAUAAAUGCCCUUUUAAAAAAUGCAUCAUAGAGCUGCCUCCCUGCUCCCAUGCCUUUUGCCAUAUGAGGACACCUAGACUGCAUUAUCUCUGAAAAAUGAGCCUUUUUCUUUUCUAUUCUCCUUCUACCAUGUGAGGACACGGCUUUACCUCCUUCUCCAGAGGAUGCAACAAUAAGGCACCAUCUUGGAAGCAGAAAGCAGCCCUCACCAGACACCAAAUCUGCCAGCACCUUGAUCUUGGAUUUCCCAGACUCCAGAACUCCUUAAGCUCCUGUUUGUGUUUCUCCUUUAUACUUUACAGCAAAGGAAAAAGCAACAAGAUGUCCAUGACCUUCAUGAAGUACGGAGAGAGAAGAGGCUAUAAAUGCAAUUAGUGCUGCUGCAGACCUCUGACCCUUGAUGUUGGAGUCCUUUAGGUUUCUUAGGUAAAUUUAGCUCUUCCAUGGAACCUGAAACCUUUGGGGAAAAAAGGCUGGAGGAAAACAGAGAUCGUGCAAGGUGAAAGGGUUUCUGAGUGGAGAAUUGAAGCCGCAAACUGCACAUGUCAUCAUCUCUUUAACUCUACAGUGCACUGCUUUGUUGCUCCCUGGAUUCCUGUGAUCUUUGCUUCCAUUUUGCAGAGAUCUAGCUUCUCCUGGAUUAGUAGAUUGGUAGAUGAAAUUGGCAUGUUUCUGUCUAGAAUUUAACUAAAUAUGCUUAGAUUUAAGUACAUUUCCUUACAAAUGGUUUAGAAGAAAAUGAUGUUCUACCUAUGCUAAAUCAACUUCAUCUUCACAUAUGUUUUCUCCACAUGAAAAGGAAAUUGUUUCAAAAUCAAUAGAAUGCUAAUUUCACACUACCCAUAGCUUACCUUGGCAUUUUGAUUAGGAAACAUAGUCUUUUCAGCUCCUCUCUGAAAUCACAUUUCUUUAUUUUUUUUUCUCAUGAGAAAAAGAGUUUGUCUUUUUUAGAAGGUUACUAAAAAAAAAUUAAAUUCCUUUAUUAUUUCAUUUUUUAUUCCUUAAGGUAUACCAUUAUGCUGCAAUUUGAGAGCAGUAAAAUUUAGUAUGAAUAUCAACUUUUAUAAAUUGCUCCUAACUUUAAAAGCCUCAGUUAUAUCAUUUGAUUUCUGACAUUAUUUUCUGUUUUUCUGAGGGAACUGAAAGAUUCACUGUUGAUUUUUUGGUAUGUGUAAAAUGUUUAUAAAAUAUGUCUUUCAAUCUUGCUAACACAAAACUCCAAAGCUGGCCACCUAAGCAACAAAGAUUUUUAGGGUAGCUUGAUUUUGUCAUUAUUUUUCUUGCAGCAUUAGUAGAAUUUUGUUAAGUAGGAGAAAGGGUAUUUGGUAUAUUACAGAGUAAUUUUUUAUUUUUAUUUUUUCCUUUUACUUUUAGUUGACACAUAACAAUUGUACAUAUGUAUGGGAUACAGAGUGAUAUUUCAAUAUGUGUAUACAAUGUGUAAUGAUCAAAUUAGGGUAAUUAGCAUUUCUAUCACCAUCAAAACAUUUAUCAUUACAGAGUAGAUUUUUGAAUGUAAGUUGGUUAUAUUACCAACUUGGUUGUUGGCAAUUUGCUGUACUGAUCUCCCUCUUUUCAAAGUUAACUUGUAUAAUUUGUUUUUCAAGGUAGGUUAACACACCAAUUCAUUCAUCAUGGGAAAAGAUCCUAGGGGCUUUUAAAAAUUUCACAAAAUACAGGAACCCCAUAAUAUCACUAAAAAUACUCAUUUAACUUUUGCUUGAAGAUGUCUGUGGUUCUCAUUACUUCAAAGAAAGUCACUCUAUUCCUUUCUGGAGAUGAAAGAGCACCCUAUUUCCAUAUUCAUUAGGGAGUUGUUUCUUAUAUGAUCUGAAAUCUAUGUCCCUGUAAUUCCAACUCAUUAGUUCCCACUCUCAUGUACGAAACUAUGCAGAUGAAUUUUUACCUUAUUUCUACAUGAAAUUCCUCCAAAUAUCAAAUAUUAAAUACCUAGGUUUCAAAAUUCUUCCUAAAAUAUAACAGACAGGACUGAACACAGUGCUAUAUAUAUCACCUAGGCAGUACAAUGAAUAAUGGAAUUACUCUUCCUUUUCUAGGGACCAGGAAUGGAUGUUAGCACUAAGAUCAUUAUCCCCCAGCCCUGCAGCUCUGCUGGUCAAAAUUGAGUAAAUUAACAACUAUACUCCUCCUCCUCCUGGUUACUUAUUGGGCAGCCACUACUAUGUUAAGCAGUUUAUUUAUAUAACAGCCAUCUUACGUGGGUACUUCACUUAUGUGAAACACACAAGGAAACCAGAAUUUACCCAAGGUAACAUAAACUACAAAAUAACAUAACUACAAAGAAGAUGGGAAGCCUGAACUCUCUCAUCUCACUGCUCAUAUUUUUAGGCACUUGGCAAUAUUGUAUUCCCUAACUAAAACACCGAGAACUCUGUCAUAUGAUCAGUAUUGCUGGUGAGAUGAUCCUCAGAAGAAUAUAUCUGUCCUUUGGCUUUGGGCUAGAUGUCUGGCACCUGAACCUCCAACCUGAUGCACAAUCCUUCCCUGUAAUUUUGAUAUAUGACCUAGCCUGUUAGAAAAAGUGGUUUCCUUUUAAUAGGCUCUUUUUAAAGUUAUCCUUUACAUUUUUUUCUUUAAAAAAUAUCCAGAAUUAGAUUCUGUGUUUACUACUAAGAUUGAUAGAUAGACUUAUCUAAAUAUUGUUAGGCCACCAUCAUUUUUUUGUUGUUUUUGCUGUGAUCAGGAUGCAUUAUAUUACAGUACUUUCCUUAUUUUCUUGUCCAGUAAUCUUAUUAAACAUGAGGCUAACUUUGCUUGUUCUGUAGAAACUACAUUCUUUUCUAAGUGCUUACCAUCUCUCUGUUGAAUAAAUUAAUUCAUUUAUAAUUUUCUAGGGAUUGUAGUAAAAAAUUAAAUCUAUUUUAGCA
rnacentral:lncRNA from 1 species